GAGAAAUCAUUCUAAACUUGACGGAGACAUGGUGAUGGCUCAUGGCAGCUUCUUUGUCUUCCUGAUCUUCUUCUCUUCCUUUAUAUCUACAAAUAAUAUUCUUCAUGCAUACGCAUCCAUCCGAGAUCAACGCAACUCAUUUGGUCUAUCAUCUCCUCCCUCAAACCGGAUUUCUAUUCAUUGUGGCCCUCGUCGGAAGGGCAUUACCAAGUGUAAUCACAACGAUUUGGCAACCCUUACCAGCUACAACCCCGACACCCCCGUUGGAGGGAUCAUUGCAAACAAUCACUUCUAGCAGUUUCUCCAUAAUACCUCCAAAACAUCUCAGUAUUCUAAAAUAACUAUCUUUAGCAUAGUCUCUAUCUUGGCUCUUUAGCUAUUUUGGAGAGCGUGUUAAGAUUUUCAUCCAUAGAGGCCAUACCAGACUUUUACGUGGCUCUUCAUUUUAACUUUUAGCUAUUUCGCUCCGAAAUAUAGAAAGCGAGAUGAGGCUCUCUAUUAUUUUUGUUAAUUUAGAACAUUCCUUCUAAGUUGUUGUAUGUAAUUUACAAAUAAAUGUAAACUUUUUUUGUUAA